rnacentral:rRNA from 1 species
AAAGGUAGCAUAAUCAAUUGGCUUUUAAUUGAAGUCUGGUAUGAACGAAAAUAUGGGUGGUAACUGUCUUUAGUAUACUAGUUGGAACUUUAUAAGCAAGUGAAAAUGCUUGCAAGCUUAAAAAAGACGAGAAGACCCUAGAAACUUGAAUUAGUUUUUGUUGGGGCGACAGAAUUACAGAUAACUAAUUUUUAAUGACACGACACUAGGUUGAAAGAAUAAGUUACUCUAGGGAUAACAGCAUAAUUUUAACAGUUUGUGACCUCGAUGUUGG